CAUUUUGAACCGCAUGGUUCGAAAUUGAAAGGCGGCUUCGGCUGUCACUUAUGGAUGGACCCGCGUCGCAUUAGCUAGUUGGUGAGGUAACGGCUCACCAAGGCAACGAUGCGUAGCCGACCUGAGAGGGUGAUCGGCCACACUGGGACUGAGACACGGCCCAGACUCCUACGGGAGGCAGCAGUAGGGAAUCUUCCGCAAUGGACGAAAGUCUGACGGAGCAACGCCGCGUGAGUGAUGAAGGCUUUCGGGUCGUAAAACUCUGUUGUUAGGGAAGAACAAGUGCUAGUUGAAUAAGCUGGCACCUUGACGGUACCUAACCAGAAAGCCACGGCUAACUACGUGCCAGCAGCCGCGGUAAUACGUAGGUGGCAAGCGUUAUCCGGAAUUAUUGGGCGUAAAGCGCGCGCAGGUGGUUUCUUAAGUCUGAUGUGAAAGCCCACGGCUCAACCGUGGAGGGUCAUUGGAAACUGGGAGACUUGAGUGCAGAAGAGGAAAGUGGAAAUUCCAUGUGUAGCGGUGAAAUGCGUAGAGAUAUGGAGGAACACCAGUGGCGAAGGCGACUUUCUGGUCUGUAACUGACACU
rnacentral:rRNA from 1 species